rnacentral:rRNA from 1 species
CGCUGGCGGCGUGCUUAACACAUGCAAGUCGAACGAUGAAGCCCAGCUUGCUGGGUGGAUUAGUGGCGAACGGGUGAGUAACACGUGAGUAACCUGCCCUUAACUCUGGGAUAAGCCUGGGAAACUGGGUCUAAUACCGGAUAGGAGCGUCCACCGCAUGGUGGGUGUUGGAAAGAUUUAUCGGUUUUGGAUGGACUCGCGGCCUAUCAGCUUGUUGGUGAGGUAAUGGCUCACCAAGGCGACGACGGGUAGCCGG